GACGAACGCUGGCGGCGUGCUUAACACGUGCAAGUCGAGCGGUAAGGCCCUUUCGGGGGUACACGAGCGGCGAACGGGUGAGUAACACGUGGGUGACCUGCCUUUAGCUCUGGGAUAAGCCUGGGAAACUGGGUCUAAUACCGGAUAUGACUCCAUAGUGCAUGCUUGUGGGGUGGAAAGCCUUGUGCGGCUAGGGAUGGGCCCGCGGCCUAUCAGCUUGUUGGUGGGGUGAUGGCCUACCAAGGCGACGACGGGUAGCCGGCCUGAGAGGGCGACCGGCCACACUGGGACUGAGACACGGCCCAGACUCCUACGGGAGGCAGCAGUGGGGAAUAUUGCACAAUGGGCGAAAGCCUGAUGCAGCGACGCCGCGUGAGGGAUGACGGCCUUCGGGUUGUAAACCUCUUUCAGCUCCGACGAAGCGGAAGUGACGGUAGGAGCAGAAGAAGCACCGGCCAACUACGUGCCAGCAGCCGCGGUAAUACGUAGGGUGCAAGCGUUGUCCGGAAUUAUUGGGCGUAAAGAGCUCGUAGGCGGUCUGUCGCGUCGGCUGUGAAAUCCCGGGGCUCAACCCCGGGCUUGCAGUCGAUACGGGCAGGCUAGAGUGCGGCAGGGGAGACUGGAAUUCCUGGU
rnacentral:rRNA from 1 species